rnacentral:rRNA from 1 species
UACGAGGGGGGCAAGCGUUGUUCGGAAUUAUUGGGCGUAAAGGGUGCGUAGGCGGUUUUGUAAGUCUUGUGUGAAAUCUUCAGGCUCAACUUGAAGACUGCACGAGAAACUGCAGGGCUUGAGUGUGGGAGAGGUGAGUGGAAUUCCUGGUGUAGCGGUGAAAAUGCGUAGAUAUCAGGAGGAACACCUGUGGCGAAAGCGGCUCACUGGACCACAACUGACGCUGAUGCACGAAAGCUAGGGGAGCAAACAGG